GGGCGUUUAGCUCAGUUGGGAGAGCACUAGCCUUACAAGCUAGGGGUCACUGGUUCGAACCCAGUAACGCCCACCA
rnacentral:tRNA from 2 species